AGAGUUUGAUCAUGGGUCAGAGUGAACGCUGGCGGUAGGCCUAACACAUGCAAGUCGAACGGCAGCACAGUAAGAGCUUGCUCUUAUGGGUGGCGAGUGGCGGACGGGUGAGGAAUACAUCGGAAUCUACCUUUUCGUGGGGGAUAACGUAGGGAAACUUACGCUAAUACCGCAUACGACCUUCGGGUGAAAGCAGGGGACCUUCGGGCCUUGCGCGGAUAGAUGAGCCGAUGUCGGAUUAGCUAGUUGGCGGGGUAAAGGCCCACCAAGGCGACGAUCCGUAGCUGGUCUGAGAGGAUGAUCAGCCACACUGGAACUGAGACACGGUCCAGACUCCUACGGGAGGCAGC
rnacentral:rRNA from 1 species